ensembl:lncRNA
GGUUCCAUCCCUGGUCGGGAACUUCCACGUGUCGUGAGGCAUGGCAAAGAAAAAAAAUCAAUUUCUCCAGCUGCCAGCCUCUUACCCCAACACACAAACAAACAAAUGCACACACAGCCCUCCACCUCCCCACCCUCUGCUAUACACCCACACCACACCACACACACACACACACACACACACACACAUGGCCCUCCACCUCCCCACCCUCUGCUACACACCCACACCACACCCUUCCCAUCCCUGCACCCAGUGUACAAGUUCUGGGCUUUCCUCUUUUCCAGUUGCAAGGUCAGAGCAGGUCUGGGGCGGCUGGCUGGAGGGUGGGGGGAGUUCAUUGGCCCAGGCUCUGCCACCUCACAUCAUCAUAGGUGACAGGAUCGAAUAUGUGGGUGUACAGAUUAGCCGGGCCGUCCACCUGGAUAUUUCCUAGAUGCUCAGAUCGGGGCUAACCUGCAGUUAACCAGAAACAAGCACAUCCCCGCGACUGGCUGACUUUUCUCCUUCCACCCAGGUGUUGGCAGUCCUCUACGUGAACAGAAAGGGACUGCAGGUAAAUAGAAAUGUGUUGGAAGAGGGUAAGAAGGACACACACCUAACAGUGCCCAGUGGUCAACUGGAAGGAGGGAAAUCCAUCCCAGGGGGGAAGAAGACUCCAGCAGAAAGGCAGAGAUGGCUGGAGAAAGACCACUCUCAAGGAAGCUUCCCGCCUCCCAACAUUAGCUCUGUGAUAGUGGCCCCAAAUUAGCUGCCCUAAUCCUACACCACCUGGAAUCACCCCAGUUGCAU